rnacentral:lncRNA from 1 species
CAGAAUCAAGUGGCACCAAUGAGAAUACAUAUAGUAAUUAGCAAAGAAACUUCAGAACAAGCGCAAAAUACUACAUACCGAUUGCUGAACAUAUCUAAAGAGCCAGAAAUCAGAAUCCUUGCAUUGUUUCUAGCCUGCAUUAUCAAAUAUUAAUUAAAAAUUUGGAAGACCUCAGUUAAAUUGUAAAAGAAACAAUUGGUGUCAAACAAAACAUAAAUAACUAAUUUGCAAAACUUGCACUAAUGCAAAAAAAAAAGUGGGUAGUGAGGAUAAUUUCCCAAUUCAAAUGCAAAUCAUUAAUGACAAACCUAAUGAAAGAAAGUAUCAACCCCCCGUAUAUGUUGCGGAAACACAUAUCAGUAUUUUUGCUCUUCUUUUUUUUGUCGUGUCUGCUUGCAUUAAUCCUCAGAGUUAUCAUAGGCAAAAAUGAAGAGAAUAUUGUUUUUUCAACUAUAAACGAUAAGAUUCGGUAAAUAGUACCCCCCCUCCCCCCUCCCCCCUCCCCAACAAAACAUCACAUUGUCACUUAACCACUAUAAUAAAAGGGCUCUAGCUAGUGAACAAAGGGUGAAAUUUUGGUGUAUAUAAGAUCCUCUAUUACCUCUGUUGCAAAAUUUCAAAGACAUUAGACACCACUACCUAGUUAAAUGUUUAACCACUAUCAAUGUUCUAAAAGGCGCUAGGCGAGAGGCCGGGGGUCUAGCGCCUAAGGGGCCUAGGCGAGAUUUUUUAUUUUAAGUCAAUUUUAAUAUUUUAUCUUACAUUUAUCCAAACAAAACAAUAAUAUAAAGCAAAACAAUCUAUAAUAAAGAUACUAAAGGUCUUUGCUUAAAGUUCAAACACAUAUCCAUAUUGCUAAUGUCAAAGUUCAAACACAAACAUAAAAUUGUUCAAAGUUCAAACAUAUUUUUAACGUAUUAGUUAUAUUCAUAAACAAGAUUGCUAUUAAAUAUUAAAUUUCAAGAAUUUAAUUCAAUAUUAAAACUUAAGAAAAUAAACAUAAAUUUAAGAAUUAUAUUGAAUUAAAUUAAAUAUUACAAAUGUAUCAUUAGUUAUAUAAUUUGAAGUUCGUACAAGUUCAAAAAAUUACAACUAUAAUAAAAUUAUCCAUUUUGACUUGAUAUUGUUCACUUUUUGUUCUGAUUUAAUAUACAACCUAUAUUAUGAAUAUAGUAAAUCAUUAGAAAAAAAAAUAUAUCAAGAUUUGAUUUGGGUAGGCCUAAUUUCUUGGAGGGAUUUUUUUGCCGCCUUGGACCUAGCUGAGGCGCCGGGGGGGCUAGUGCCUAGGCGAGGCGCUAAGGGGGGCCUAGGACCUAGGCGGGAAUUUUUAGAACACCAACCACUAUGCUAGAAGGGCUCUAGCUAGCGAACAAAGGGUGAAUUUUUGGUGUGUAUAAGAUCCUAUAUUACCUAUGUUGCAAAAUUUCAAAGACAUUAGACACCACUAGCUAGCUAAAUGUUUUAUUAAGCUCAAAGAUUCACCGAAACAAUUACUUCCAGUAUACCAGUUGGCCAAAAACAGGACAGGCAGAAACUACAAACUUAAAUCGGCAAAAGUAAUGUUGUUUAGCAGUGUUACUCUAAUUUGCUUCAUAGACAACCAUUAUGCAAACCUGCUGCUAUAAGUUUAAUUGAUAUUGGACAGAAACUGAAAAUUUUAGAUAAGAUUACAAACACAGUAAAAAGUGUAUAUUAAAAUAAUAUCUACUCAAAUCUGUUCGACAUAGAAAAGGCACCAGGUCAACAGACUGUUGUACAUACUACACAGUUCUUUCUCAUAUUAAGCAUAUAGCCCAGGUCAGUACAACACGAUACUAGAAUGAUAUGCUAAUACUGCUCAUUAGAAGUUUCUCUUUCCAGUUUCAGGGUUGGGUAAUAUAAAAUCAACAAUUCUUCUAAAAGGUUAAGCUGUUGGAGAGAGUACAACAAUGUGCAUGCUCCCUCCGUCUCUUAAUAUAAGUCGUUUUAGAGUUGUGCACAAGUAUUAAAGAAAUUAUUGUAUAACAUUAAAUAUAAUAUCAAUUGUCUAUAUUGUCCUUGUAUUGAAAAAAGAAUGUUAUUUAUUAGACAAAAUAGUGAAAGAACUAAAGUUAUAUUUAAUACCUGGGGUAAUAUUGGAAACUAUGCAAUUAAUGCUUACUUGAAAUUCUCAAACGACUUAUAUUAAAGGACGGAGGGAAUAGUGUUUAACCACUCCUCAUUUGCGACAGUGGCAAGAUAAACUAUGGUGCAAUCAGCGCACAAACCAAAUAGAGUACAGGUGUACUCACAACUAUAACGGUAAUCAUGCUAACCUUGUACGAGUUUAUAUGAUAUGUAUUUUAUGCCUUUGAAGUAGGACAUAAAAAAAUCGUACCAAGGAAAAAGAGAACUAAUGUUUACGAGCAAAUCAAAUUUUGAUGGUCAAGCCUUCACCAAUUAGAACUUUCAAAUUUUAUUCAAUAAUAACAUUUUCAAAAAGAUCAAUUAUUAUUCAACUGAUUAUGGAAAACAAACUCGGGAAGCCACAUAACAGAAACAAACCUGCACAAUUGAAACUAAUGAGAUAGCAGAUCCAGCAAGGGCGGGAGGAUUUGAUAACUUAAACUUGGGAUUAGCAGAAUAUGCUGAUGGGGAACCUGAGAGAACCUUCAAAACCUACAAAUGGAUUGGAUACAUGAAGAAGCAUCACCACAAAGCCAUCAGCCAAUUAAGCAUUUUGAACUACAUAGAAUUCUAUCUGAAACAUCAUAUUGAGUAUGCAAAAGAUUAAACACAAACUACUUAACCUUACCAAACUGUUGGCUGGAUUUAAUGAAUGCCCAAUCCCUUUGAAAAGUACAGGGGCCUGCUUCAUGCAAUAGAGAAGCCAUUCAGAAUUGCCAACACUGAUUUUAUUUGUUCCCUUUUAGAUGCAGUGUUUAGAUAUCAAUGGUUAAAAGGAUAAAUAUGAUUUUGUUAUAAAUCCUUUGAAGUUAAACAUGGUUACAGAUGUUGAUACAGGUAAAUAAUGGUAAAACCAUAAAAAUGAACAAUUUGAAGAACUUAUUUCAAUUAAAUGAAUUGCAAAAUACUUAUCCAAUUUUAGGUAAGGAACUUAUAUGCAUAAAUCGAUACAUAAGAAUCAAAAAGAUAUAUAGAAAGAUGUGGCAAAAAGAAUACACACAAGUGAUUCCAGCAUAAGCAAUUAUAAUCAAGACAGACUUGUUGAUUACAGAACUAACCUCAAUUCUUGUACUUCCCAAAAUCACAUCAGAUUGAAUGAAAUUAUCAGAGGCAAUCAAUGUAUGAUCUCCCUCAGUUUCCGAAACCGCAAAGUUUGUGUGAUCAAUAACCAUGGCAGAGAAAUCCUUUAAUGUCAAACAAAUAACAUGAGACUUAUAAUUAACGCAAACAAAAUAAUUACAGUAAAAUGAUGGACAAAAGUGAAAUGACAAAGAACGGACAUUUGAUUUAAUCUUUCCCAAGAAAGAUCAACUUGACAUGUCAGCUCUAUAAUUACCUGGAAUUUCUAUGAAGUGGACAUACUAUGAUUAAGAUCGUUAGCAAAAUCAGCUUUAGGCAGGGCAUAAAUGUUAAAUUACUAACUUCUUCUCUAAUUCCCAAUUUUCGUAGGCCUACUUUAAAAUUAUUAUCUAUAACCCAGCUGUUAAUGAAGGGGCAGCUAUUUGCACAAGUAAAGAACUAGUUCGGUUUUCAAAAUGCACAAUUGUCAGAAACUUUAGUGCAACACAAUACAUCAAGUUUGAAUUCCCAACAGUCUGGUUCAUUCUGCAUAGCAAUCGGAUCAUAUCCAGAUUAAAUUCCAUGAAGUGUAAGGAAUAUACGUUAACAUUAAAGGAUUAUGAAACUUUCACGUUCACAAAUAAAUGAAGUAGAGAGAGAAAGCAAAACUCGCCUCAUCAAAAUCAACACCACACUCGGCCGCAAUGUUGCGGAUCAAAUCAGAGGCGUUGGCAUCCGCGGCUACAAUCAAGUCGUGGCCCGAAUCAACAAAAUCUAAAACAGCCGCCAAAUCCAGCGAUCCUCCAAACCCUAACAAAGAUGGCAAAUCUCAAUCAGCCAAAAUAAAUACGCUGCAACUUGUUUCUCAACAUGUAAAUAUAACUUAACUUACGUUCCGUGGUGGGAGAAAAGAGAAUGAGGGCGUCAUACAAAUACUGGCCGUAUCUUUGGAGAGAGAUAUUUGGAUCGUCGGAGAGCUUGAAAUGGAGCUCAAAACCACGAUUUUGAAGAGAAUUGAAGAAGAUUGAGUGGGAAGACUUGAGAGCCAAGUCGUCGAGUAAUACUAAAAUGAGUCGAUCUGUUGGGUUUUCCGGGGAGAAUGAGUGGAUGACUAUUGGGAGGAGAGAGAUUAACA